rnacentral:rRNA from 1 species
AUACCGGCGGCCCGAGUGGUGGCCGCUAUUAUUGGGCCUAAAGCGUCCGUAGCCGGGCCCGUAAGUCCCUGGCGAAAUCCCACGGCUCAACCGUGGGGCUUGCUGGGGAUACUGCGGGCCUUGGGACCGGGAGAGGCCGGGGGUACCCCUGGGGUAGGGGUGAAAUCCUAUAAUCCCAGGGGGACCGCCAGUGGCGAAGGCGCCCGGCUGGAACGGGUCCGACGGUGAGGGACGAAGGCCAGGGGAGCGAACCGGAUUAGAUACCCGAGUAGUCC